rnacentral:rRNA from 1 species
UCGCAGGUCAGCAUACUGCGGUGAAUACGUUCCCGGGCCUUGUACACACCGCCCGUCACACCACGAAAGUCAUUCACACCCGAAGCCGGUGAGGUAACCGCAAGGAGCCAGCCGUCGAAGGUGGGGGCGAUGAUUGGGGUGAAGUCGUAACAAGGUAGCCGUAUCGGAAGGUGCGGCUGGAUCACCUCCUUUCUAGGGA